CUGUUCCACUUCUUGUUCCACUUCUGCCUUGGGGACCUUGGGGUCCCCAGUGAUGUCCUGGAAACAAUGCGGAGCAAAGUGAAUGAAUGAAUCAAGCCGAGGACUCAGCCAUCAGACUCGCGUGGCUCUACACCUACUGAGAUUACACACGACCCUUAAAAUUGCAACCAAUCUUCUCAUCACUCUUCUUUCAAGAUAAUGCAAGCAUCUAGCCGGAACUGUGAGUUUUGAUCUCGAAGUCUAGACAGGAGUCCACAAACCCAUGUGCAAGUCCUAAGAAGUAUUCUAGAAGAGGCUGACUUUCUUUCCCAUUACAUUUUGAGCAACCUUGAUUCUUCCGUUCAAACAAGAAAGAAACAUCCUUGCUUCAGUCUGUAUGUACAUGUCUGUGCAUAAGAAUAUAUAAAGGGGUACAGUGAGGAGGUGGAUGAUGGAGGAGGAAGAGAUGGGAAUAAUAUCAAGAUGGUAAGAAAUUCUAAUAUAAAGCGUUCAAGAGGGUUUCUGUGUAUGUAUUUGUAGAUG